GCCUGGAAAGGGUAUGCUUAGAGAUCUCCCCUUUUGACAAGUUCCUUUGGACUUCCUUACGCAACUGAGGUUGCCAAAGCACUGCCCUAUUUCAUUAAUGCACUGCUGAUAUACAGCUAAAGUCAGAGAACGAUUCAUACUUUUCUUUUAAAACUAAGAAGAUAAACUCAGUCACAUUUGCACAUAACUUGGAGACAAACAUAGUUACCACGUUCAUUAGUGAAGUCUCUGGCUUCCCAAUUUUUUCAACAGAUAGUUCAUUAUUUUGUAAAAAAUUAAAAAGACAUUGAUUUUACAUUUACUUCCUUUAUUUCCUUUGGGGAAGAUUGGCAGUGCAACAUUUGGCAACAGAAAGAAGAGCUGUGAGUGACUGAGGUCCCAUGGCAGUGAGUGGGUCCCACAGGGGAUGAGUGAGUGAGGUCCCAUGGCAGUGGACGGGUCCCAUAGGGCAUGAGUGAGUGAGGUCUCAUGGCAGUGGGCGGGUCCCAUAGGGCUUGAGUGAGUGAGGUCCCAUGGCGGUGGGCGGGUCCCACAGGGCGUGAGUGAGGUCCCAUGGCGGUGGGCGGGUCCCACAGGGCGUGAGUGAGGUCCCAUGGCGGUAAGCGGGUCCCAUAGGGCGUGAGUGAGGUCCCAUGGCAGUGGGAGGCUCCCAUAGGGCAUGAGUGAGUGAGGUCCCAAGGUGGUGGGCGGGUCCCACAGUGGAUGAGUGAGUGAGGUCCCAUGGCGGUGAGUGGGUCCCACAGGGCAUGGGUGAGUGAGGUCCCAUGGCAGUGAGUGGGUCCCACAGGGCAUGAGUGAGGUCCCAUGGCAGUGGGAGGCUCCCAUAGGGCGUGAGUGAGGUCCCAUGGCGGUAAGCAGGUCCCAUAGGGCGUGAGUGAGGUCCCAUGGCAGUGAGUGGGUCCCACAGGGCAUGAGUGAGUGAGGUCCCAUGGCAGUGAGUGGGUCCCACAGGGCAUGAGUGAGUGAGGUCCCAUGGCAGUGGGCGGCUCCCAUAGGGCGUGAGUGAGUGAGGUCCCAUGGCGGUGAGUGGGUCCCACAGGGCAUGGGUGAGUGAGGUCCCAUGGCGGUGAGUGGGUCCCACAGGGCAUGGGUGAGUGAGGUCCCAUGGCGGUGAGUGGGUCCCACAGGGCAUGGGUGAGUGAGGUCCCAUGGCAGUGAGUGGGUCCCACAGGGCAUGAGUGAGUGAGGUCCCAUGGCAGUGGGCGGCUCCCAUAGGGCGUGAGUGAGGUCCCAUGGCGGUAAGCGGGUCCCAUAGGGCGUGAGUGAGGUCCCAUGGCAGUGAGUGGGUCCCACAGGGCGUGAGUGAGGUCCCAUGGCGGUGAGUGGGAUGUCACUCACUCACCUCUAUGGGCUGCAUAAUUAUGCAAAAUGCAGGCAUGCCCCAACCUUGAAUCUUUCCAAACCUGGGACUGAGAAGGCCUAGAGGCAAGGGGAAUCCAAGUGUACAGAACAUGCAGGGGUGGGGUGCAGAUUUGGCACCAGCCCAAGUCACAACAGCCUCAGAUUCAGACUUCUGAUCCUCUCUCCCAAUGGAGUCCUGGAGCCUCACAGAGAUCCAAACAAUGGGAUUGAAAGCAGAAGACAUUCGUCACAUAACUUUGAACAUAUAUUCAUUACCAGGCCACACCUAUAAUGUGCUAUGUCUCCAUAUUUUUGUGACUCCUAUUAUUAUCUUGUGAAAAGCAUAACUGUAUUCUAUUAUGUUUCCUUGUGUUAAAAAGCAUCCAGGUCUUCAAUGUAAAUAUUUAAAACUGUCUAUGGUGUUUCUAACCCUAUGUACUUUUUCACUUUUUAAAUACACUGAAAGGCUCAAAUUAUGGAGGUAGCCACUCUUCUCUUAAUCUCUGAGAGGCCCAACCUGCAGAGUGGCUGAUGGAGCAAACCCAGCACAAGCGUGGUCCUCUAUCUACCACAGGGGAUGAGAGGAAAUCUCCAGGCACUGGUGUCAGAAGAAGCAAGGGAGGGGGCCUCCCAAUUAUUAAUAAUAUCUCCUUGCUUGGUGUCAUGGCUGUCUUGCCUGCCCAGGGGCACCUAUGGGCUGUGAAUUAGACUGCUUCUGGGCAUAGGGAGCAGAAACCAGGGGACAAUUUACAUGGAGAACUUCUCUGCUGGACACCAGGAGAGCCAGAGCUCAGGAAAAUAUAGCAUCAUGAUCCAGAGGGUUUGCUUUUUAGUAUUCCUCCUUCUGUCUCAAUGGCCUUGCUGAUAGGGGUAAACACACUACUAUCAAGACGCUAGGAGGCCAGGGAAAGGGAACAUUUACAUCUAGCACCUAAGUGCUCAGCAUUCUGCCAGGAGCCUCACAGUGCUGACAUCUGACAGCCUCCCUGCCUGUUAUCUGGUGAUUCUCUUGGCCUCACCCCCACCCAUUCUCACCCUCCAACCAGCUGACCCCUGUAUACACCUGGCUUCCCUGCCUGCUGGCUUCACAUUGGUUCAGCCAAUCAGGCACCCAGUGGGGAACUGGAGGAAGGAAGAGAGAGGUCUGGGUAUUUCUCUCUGGCUCCCUCUCUCACUGGGUGCCACAUCUUUGGGUAACCUUCUUCCUUGACUAUAGCUCCUUCUGGGCAGCUCCUCCUCCACUGUUCCAGGUCUCACUGCACUCCAGUAACUCUACUUCCUCCCCAGGCCCCUCAGCCUUAGAGGUGAUAGGGCUUUUCCACUGCUGUUAGUGCCUUGGUGGAUCCCUCAACCUCUAUAAUUAUUCCUUUCAUUAGGCUUCAUUCAAACCAUCUGAGGUGAAUUGUUUCCUGCCAGGAGCUCUGAUACCAACUCUCAUUUUCAAUGUAAUUGCUUUCGCAAUUGAGAUGAAAUGCACAGAUGUGGGUCUAUAAGCAUGUGGGGGCAUUUCCAAGAGUUUAUUAACCUGGUAUAAGUACUAGGUUAAUAAAGAAGAGCUCACAAGGCUCAUUCAACAUCUGUGUGGCCUUGAACCCAACUCCAAAUCCAACCAGAUAACCGUGGCAAUCCCAAGACAUGGGUGUAGAGCCUCUAAAUUCUGUCUGUAGUAGAUGCACAGGGAUUUUUUUUUUUUUACUCACCCUUGCUUUCUAUCACAUGCUUGCUAGUGGAAAAAUCUCUGGGGGGCCUAUAAAACAUUUCAGCUUCUCUGGGGAGUAGAAUCCACAUGGAGGAUAAUGGUAAUAGCUGCCUGUCACUGAUCUUGUACAUUGCACAACAGCCCUGUAAGGAAGCUUUCUUUAUCUCCACCUAACAGAUGAGCAAAAAGAUUCACAGAUGGAUAAGCAACUUGCCUGGGCCUGACCUCACGGCUGUUCUUUCCUUCCCAUUGCACUAUUUCUUAAAAGAGGGAAAUAGGAUCCAUGGUCUCCAAGUUACUCCUAAAUUAAGCCUGGAGGGAUAAAGCUCCCCAGGCAAAUCAUAAACACCAGGUUCUUUAAACACACACACACACACACACACACACACACAGAGAGAGAGACACACACACACCUUACUUUGGUUAUAAUUCCUUGGAAGGAAGGGGAAAACAUCAAUGCAUAUCCAAGAAGUCAGAGAGGAGGGGAAAAAAAGAGCAAACAGCCCAAUUUUCCAAAAGACCAAGGUGGGGGUUGGGAUGGAUUCCAGAAAAUGGAGACAUUGGUGAGGAUUCAAGUUCCACAAGUAUUCAGCAAAUGGUUUGUGAUCACUUUUAAAAGGUGGUCUGCACAGCAGAAUGAAUUUAGAAAGAACCAAGCAGGCCAGCGUGACCUCAUGCCUGUCCGUAUUGGAGGAGACCCCUUGUUUGGUCAGAACACAGGGCAUCUGUUUCCACAAGCCAUAAGGCCCGUUUCCCACAUCAUGACAUCAUCACUCCAAAGGACUCACCCAGCAGCCGUCCAAGCCAGUACCUUCCAAAAUGAUUUUGGUCCCAUAGCUCACCAGUCAAAAAUGAGCAUGCAUCCCUAAUAUAUAUGACUUAUUUUAAAAUUAAAAACAUGUACUACUGCCAACUUAUAAAUAUGAGUACAGUUUAAGACCUUACUUUUUAGGGAAGAAAAUAUAUAUAAAUUAAAGCUUUUACAUUUUCUUCCCAUUCCCCAAAGGAUUAUACUGAGCACCAAAUGUUCGAACUUAGUGCGUGAUAUGGUUUGGAUCUGUGUUCCUGCCUGAAUCUCAUGUAGAAUUGUAAUCCCCAGUGUUGGAGGUGGGGCCUGGUGGGAGCUAAUUGGAUCAGGGGGGCGGAGUUCUCAUGAAUGGGUUAGCACCAUCCCCUAGGUGCUAUUCUCCUGACAGUGAGUAAGUUAUUGUGAGAUAUUGUUGUUUAAAAGCAUGUAGCACCUCCCGCCUCUCUCUUCCUCCUGCUCUGGCCAUGGGAAGUGCUGGCUUCCCUUCACCUUCUGCCAUGAUGGUGAGUUUCCUUGUACCUCCCCAGAAGCCGAGCAGAUGGCCAGCAUCAUGCUUCCUCACAGCCUGUGAAACUGUAAGCCAAUUAAACCUCUUUUCUUUAUAAAUUACCCAGUCUCAAGUAUUUCUUUAGAGCAGUGCAAGAACAGACUAAUCCAGUGACCUUGAUGCCACACAGUGGUUGCUUGGAGCCCAGUGAGCUUCAUCUUCAACCGGCAUCCCUGACACACCUUGUCCUGGCCUCUACUCCCAAGGCUGAUGGCCUGCUCUUCCUCCCUGAGCAUCCCAGAAUCACUUCUUUCCAUUUCCUCCCCCAGCAUAGCCUUUCCCUCCUAAAUUCCCUCACCUCCCUGAACUUGUUACAAUGUCUUCUUCUCCCCCACAUCCCUAUCUUCUCACUGUAAUAAUUACCCAGCAAAAUCCUUACGUGGUAACAGAAAACUGUGCCUUCAUUUCAUAGUCUGCCUUCUCUUCUGCAUUCAGGCGGUUCAAUAGUACCAGAAAGAUUAAAUGAAUACACAGUAACCACAUAAACAUUGUUACCAGGUUACUGCACACCCUCCUCUUCCACAGGUCUUCUAACACAGUAACUAGGAUUUUUCUUGUCUUCAGCCAGCUCCAUUUCCCUUUAUCCUCAGCCAACCAUUCCAGCCCAGCACCACCCUUCCACCCCUCUAUUUCCAGGCGCCUGCCUGAUGUUCCUCAUCCAUCCACUCAACCAUUCCUUCAUUCAUUCCAACGCUUCCCAGGCAUCCAGGAUGCGCCGAGCGCGGUUUCAGCUCACAGUGAAUCCUACAUCCUAGGAAACAAGAACAUGUCAGGAGUUGGGAAGAUCAUGAAAACAAAGCUCCCUGUUACAAAAUAGGCAGCAAGCAGGGGCCAGAGAUACAACCCACUUCACUCCCUGCCCACUUCUGCCCUCUCCAGUGCUUUCUCAAAUUGAGAUAUUAAUAAAAUCCACAAAACACAGAAUCAGUCUUUAACAGUAAACAAACUUAGCGGCAUUGAGUAUGUUCAUCAUGUUGUGUGACCAUCACCUCUAUCUAGUUCCAAAACAUUUAUAUCACCAUCCCCCCACCAAAUAAAACCCAGAUCCAUCAAGCAUUCUCCCCAUGCCCCUGCCCCCAGCAACACUAAUCAGCUUCCUGUCUCUGCGGGUUCACCUAUUCUGUGUAUUCCAUGUCAGUGAGUCAUCCGCUACCAUUCCAAUUCAGAAACAGCCCUGCCUCCCUUUGGUGCUCUCCCAGCCUCCUUGAGGAGGGCCUGUCUCACAUUUGUCCUCCCACCCCCAUGCCCCCUCCGGCCUGUAUCUCUAAAAUCUCGGAACAGGCUCUCUAAACCUUUGAGCAAUUCUAUCACUCUUGAAAAAAACCAAAACAGGACCAGGUGCAGUGGUUCACACAUGUAAUCCUAACACUUUGGGAGGUCAAGGCAGGAGGAUCAAUUGAGGCCAGGAGUUUGAAACCAGCCUGGGCAACACAGUGAGACCUUGUCUUUAUCCCGCCCCUUCUCCACAAAAAAAGAGUUAAAAAACAAAAAACAAACAAAACAAACACUUCCCUGACAUUUCUUCCUCUGUCAAGACAGCCCCAACACCUUCCUUCCCUUCUCAGCUUCUGAUUCAUUCCAUGGGAUUUGCAACUUGCCAAAACCAAUAAAAACGCAGAAGGCCUUGGCUCCCCAGUGCCCUUUGGUCAUGUGAAGCAUGUGACCUCAGAUAAUUAUUGGUUUUGCCCCUCUGUGCCUCAGUUCACUCAUCUGUAAAAUGGAGAUCCGAGUAACACUUACCUCACUGGAUUUGUAUGAUGAAUCAGAACUACCUGAGUGCUCACAAAUGUCCCCAGCACACUGUGAGGGCUCCAGUGUUGUCACUAUGGUCAAAAUGAUCUGUCCCAUAAAACCCAUAGGCCUGCUCCACUCAGGCGGGGCCGGGCCUUUCUGGCCAUUGGUUCUCUUUGGCUCAGCCUGUAAAUGCAGAAAUUUUCCAAGAAUUGGCUCUUCCAGGUUAACACUCUUUUCGGGGUGGUAUCAUCUGGUCUCCUGACUUUAACCACCAUCAAUGCCAACAACACCUAAACCACAGGGCCCACCUUUCCCCUCUCAGGCUCAGCACAGCUUUGCACUCACAUGGGAACACCUGGGCAAUGCGUCAGUAACCUCAGGAGGCCCUGAACUAUGCAAGACCAGAAUUAAGCGUCAGCCUCCCCUUGCACUCCUCAGCCACCUCUCCUCACUCGCUCCACUUCAAGUUCCCCUGCUCUCCCUUGGGGACCACUGAGGUACCCUGCCCUGCCACCCCACCUCCUGAGCCAGGCUUGCUCCUAUUCCCUCCUUUUCACACUGCAAGCAGAACAGACCAUCUGAAAACCAAAUCUGCCCAAGCCAUGCACCUUUCAGGUGCUCUCCACUGCUCUCAGGAGCAAGUCCAAAUGCAUUCCAAAGGAAGGCUUUUCCUGACCUCGCCCCAUCCCCAGCAGCUCCUGCUCUGUCCUCUAGGCUCUGGGAAUGCUGACUGCUGCCAGCAAUGCUGGAGUUGAACCACAUGGCCCCUGCUGGCAAUGUCUUUCCCAUCCCAUUCUUCCAAAUUCCGCAUAUCUUUCAAGGCUCAGUUCAGCCACCACCACCUCAAGGAAGCCUUUUCUGAUGCCCUAGAUUGGACUAAGCCCCCUCCCUGCCUGCAACUCACUGACAUUAGUGUGAGUCUGUUUUCCUCAUUAGGCUGUAAGCUCCCCGAAGACCUUGUUUAUUUCCUCCAUCUACCCAUUCAUCU
rnacentral:lncRNA from 10 species